rnacentral:rRNA from 1 species
UAUUGCACAAUGGGGGAAACCCUGAUGCAGCGACGCCGCGUGAGCGAUGAAGUAUUUCGGUAUGUAAAGCUCUAUCAGCAGGGAAGAAAAUGACGGUACCUGACUAAGAAGCCCCGGCUAACUACGUGCCAGCAGCCGCGGGAAUCCGUAGGGGGCAAGCGUUAGCCGGAUUUCCUGGGUGUAAAGGGGGCGUAGACGGCUGUGCAAGCCAGAUGUGAAAGCCCGGGGCUCAACCCCGGGACUGCAUUUGGAACUGUGUAGCUGGAGUGUCGGAGAGGCAGGCGGAAUUCCUAGUGUAGCGGUGAAAUGCGUAGAUAUUAGGAGGAACACCAGUGGCGAAGGCGGCCUGCUGGACGAUGACUGACGUUGAGGCUCGAAAGCGUGGGGAGCAAACAGG